rnacentral:rRNA from 1 species
AAUGAACGCUGGCGGCAUGCCUAACACAUGCAAGUCGAACGGCCGUACACUAAGAGCUUGUUCUUACUGGUUGCGAGUGGCGGGCGGGUGAGACAUACAUCUGACUCUACUUUUUCUUGGGGGACAACGUCUGAAAGCUGUCCUUAUUACCGCAUAUCACUUACCGCUGAAUGCAGGAGAGCUUCAGAGUUUUCUUGUUUUUUUGAGCUGAUGUCGGACUAGCUAGUUUGUUGGGUAAGGGAUCAACCAGGCAAGGAUGCGUAGCUGGUCUGAGAGGAUGAUCGGCCACACUGGAACUGAGACACGGUCCAGACUCCUACGGGAGGCAGCAGUGGGGAAGAUUGGAAAAUGGGAGAAAGCCUGAACGAGCCAUGCCGCGUGGGUGAAGAAGGGAUUCGGGUUGUAAAGCUCUGUUGUUGGGAAAGAAAAGCAGAAGAUGAAAAGCCGGAUGUUCUGACGGUACCGAAAGAAUAAGCACCGGCUAACUACGUG